UACGGAGGGGGCUAGCGUUAUUCGGAAUUACUGGGCGUAAAGCGCACGUAGGCGGACUGAAAAGUCAGAGGUGAAAUCCCAGGGCUCAACCUUGGAACUGCCUUUGAAACUCUCAGUCUUGAGGUCGAGAGAGGUGAGUGGAAUUCCGAGUGUAGAGGUGAAAUUCGUAGAUAUUCGGAGGAACACCGAUGGCGAAGGCAGCCCCCUGGGAUAACACUGACGCUCAUGCACGAAAGCGUGGGGAGCAAACAGG
rnacentral:rRNA from 1 species